rnacentral:pre_miRNA from 1 species
CUUAUACUCCCUCCGUUCCAAAUUACUCGUCGCAGAAAUGAAUGUAUCUAGAACUAAAAUACAUCUAGAUACAUCCAUUUCUGCGACGAGUAAUUCGGAACGGAUGGAGUAUUUC